rnacentral:rRNA from 1 species
GCCCCAGUAACGGCGAGUGAAGCGGCAACAGCUCAAAUUUGAAAUCUGGCCUCCGGGUCCGAGUUGUAAUUUGCAGAGGAUGCUUUUGGCGAGGUGCCUUCCGAGUUCCCUGGAACGGGACGCCAUAGAGGGUGAGAGCCCCGUCUGGUCGGACACCGAGCCUCUGUAAAGCUCCUUCGACGAGUCGAGUAGUUUGGGAAUGCUGCUCAAAAUGGGAGGUAUAUGUCUUCUAAAGCUAAAUAUUGGCCAGAGACCGAUAGCGCACAAGUAGAGUGAUCGAAAGAUGAAAAGCACUUUGAAAAGAGGGUUAAAAAGUACGUGAAAUUGUUGAAAGGGAAGCGCCUAUGACCAGACUUGGGCCCGGUGAAUCACCCAGCGUUCUCGCUGGUGCACUUUGCCGGGCACAGGCCAGCAUCAGUUUGGCGCGGGGGACAAAGGUUUCGGGAAUGUGGCUCCCUCGGGAGUGUUAUAGCCCGUUGCGUAAUACCCUGCGCCGGACUGAGGUACGCGCAUUGCAAGGAUGCUGGCGUAAUGGUCAUCAGCGACCCGUCUUGAAACACGGACCAAGGAGUCGUCUUCGUAUGCGAGUGUUCGGGUGUCAAACCCCUACGCGUAAUGAAAGUGAACGUAGGUGAGAGCUUCGGCGCAUCACCGACCGAUCCUGAUGUUCUCGGAUGGAUUUGAGUAAGAGCAUACGGGGCCGGACCCGAAAGAAGGUGAACUAUGCCUGUAUAGGGUGAAGCCAGAGGAAA